AACGAACGCUGGCGGCAUGCCUAACACAUGCAAGUCGAACGAGACCUUCGGGUCUAGUGGCGCACGGGUGCGUACCGCGUGGGAACCUGCCCUUAGGUUCGGAAUACCUCCCCGAAAGGGGUGCUAAUACCGGAUAAUGUCUUCGGACCAAAGAUUUAUCGCCUUUGGAUGGGCCCGCGUUGGAUUAGCUAGUUGGUAGGGUAAAAGCCUACCAAGGCGACGAUCCAUAGCUGGUCUGAGAGGAUGACCAGCCACACUGGGACUGAGACACGGCCCAGACUCCUACGGGAGGCAGCAGUGGGGAAUAUUGGACAAUGGGCGAAAGCCUGAUCCAGCAAUGCCGCGUGAGUGAUGAAGGCCUUAGGGUUGUAAAGCUCUUUUACCCGGGAUGAUAAUGACAGUACCGGGAGAAUAAGCUCCGGCUAACUCCGUG
rnacentral:rRNA from 1 species